rnacentral:rRNA from 1 species
GACAGAGGUGCCAAGCGUUAGGCGGAAUCACUGGGCUUAAAGGCGUGAUGUAGGCGGGCGGGCGAAGUACCUUGUGAAAUCCCACGGCUCAACCGUGGAACGGCUGGGUAUACUGCCUGUCUUGAGCCAGCUAGGGGCGACCGGAACAGACGGUGGAGCGGUGAAAUGCGUAGAUAUCGUCUGGAACGCCAAAGGUGAAAACAGGUCGCUGGGGCUGAGCUGACGCUGAGACACGAAAGCCAGGGGAGCGAACGGG